GCUGCGGUAGCUCAGUGGUAGAGCACUCCCUUGGUAAGGGAGAGGUCGAGAGUUCAAUCCUCUCUCGCAGCACC
rnacentral:tRNA from 2 species